AGCGCUGCAUGCUGUCCGCCCUCAGCCCAGCAAGCCGGCCCUCGAGCUCCGCUGGGCAGCGCAGGGCCGGCAGUAUAGAGUCCGCCGGCCCCGGACGGCCCCGGGUUAAUCCAGUGCAGAAACAGCUUCAUCUUGUUAUCCAAGCCAACUUCUGGAGCUUCUGGAAGGAUGAUGCUCUUCCAAGCUGAGAAAUGAUCACAGACCAGACUAGCAGCUGGGAGACUGCAAAGAAGAAGAGAUUACCUUUUCAUGAGAAACAGCAGCUUCCACAACUUCUCGGCUUCUUCCUGUGAAGUUCUCCUAGCUGAAGAAACAGAAGAUAGUGAGUGUUAUGUGGAACUGGAGAGGAUUCAGGGACAUCCUAUAAGAAGCUGAAGGCCUUUUAAUGAGAAGAUACUGAAAACCCCAGAGUCAGAACACUAAGUCACAUCUGUGUAUAACUUAACCGUUUACGAUGUGUUGUUCUGCACCUUGUCUCAUUUGUCCUUCACCAUCACACUGGGAGUGAGGAAGGAUCAUCACAUGCCCAUUUUAUGGAGAACAAGACUGAGAGUUGAAGAGACUUCCACAGGAGUAAGGCGGUAUCACAUUGCGGUUUUGAUUUGCAUCAGUGAACGUUUUUCUUAAAUGUCCUUCUUAUACCUACAAAAGGAAACUAGAUCUUCAUAUUAAGGAUAAUUUAAGAAGAGUCCUACCUGAAAAUGGGAUGAAUUUGAGCUAUUUCAUCAUCUGCCCUGAACUUGCAAAUUCCAUAAUACAGGAAUGAGAAGACUUUUUCAAACAAAGAGCACUGAAUGAAAGGUUAACAAAAAUCAAUUAAAAGGCAGCUUGAGUCAGCUUUUUAGUAGCAGGUCAUCAACAUACCUGCAAAGUAGCCUGUAUCCUUCAUUACUUUUAUUACUCCUACUUAACCAGCUGUUGCCACCCUCUAUGCAGCUGUAACAGUUUUGUCACCCAUUAGCCUGACGUCUUGCACCCAGCAGAAUCACCACAUCUGCAAGUCCUGCACCUGCUUCUGCCAGUGCACUACUUACCUCACAGAUAACCCACAGCCUCUGCCCUUCCACCAAGCCAUUAAAACCAUCUACUGAAAACUCCACUCCAGCAAUUCGCCUGGCCCUUGCUCCUCUGCCUCAGAGCUGAGGAAUUAGAGCCAAGGGCUGAGCCAAAAAUGGUCUCAUGCCUUUUUGUAGAUUAGGCCUUUAGCAUAGGUUUAUUUACUGGUUUGGGGCUCAUCGACAAGGGUGCUUGUGUGGACAGGACAGUGGGAUCAGUGUCUUCCUGAACAAGGGCUCAUUCAUGUAAUGAUCACAGCUAAGCCUGGCAUUUCUCACGAUGUGGGCAUGGAUCAUCACAUUUGCCUUUCCUGCCUCGUGGUUGAGAGCGAACAGCAAACGAGGGAGAUGAACUACACGAAAAGCCUCUGUGGACGCUGGAGGGCUGCACAACUAUCAAGGAUUAUUCUUCAUUUGUUUCUAGAAAACUUGCUUUAAGCCAGACCCUGCUUUCAUUAUAAUGCUGCAGAGCCACAAUGAUUGCAAUAGAAUUUCUUCAAGGAACUGUUCAUGGCUACCAAUUCAUACGUACCCAUGAGUCCUAUCGCCUUGUAAAGAAACAUGUGACUGACAUGCCACUGGUGUGAGACUUGUCCCUCCACACAAGCCUUACGAAAGAGCUUCGCUGUGUCUCAUACUCAGAAAAUACUAGUGAACAUCUCAAAUAUACCAAGGUGCCGGGGACAGAGGUGCAUAGUUGCUGCAACUCAGUGGCAACACUUUUAUAGAUGAGCACGUUCAUUAAUGCCCAAGAGCUAGAAUUUCCAGGGAGUUGGGCAGGAAGCCCCAGAGUAGUGUCAGGCAGCAAAACCACCAGAGCUCACACAGCGGAUUACUACCCAAUGCAGGAUUGUGGGGAGUAACAGUAGAUGGCAGCCAGAGACACUAGAGGGCAGCACAUGCCCACCCAAUAUGCCUAGUCCUGUGACAUCUCUACCCUGACAGGAGCUUUCAAAGGUUAUCUUCUCCAGUGGGCUCUCAAUCCCAGCCUUAUAUCAGAAUCACUCGGGAGCUUGUUAAAAAUAUAGAUUUUCUGGUUUCACUCCAGACUAAUGAAUCGGAAUCUCUAGAUGCAGAGUCCAGCAACCUCUAUAUUAAAUAAGUAUCAAAAAUAACCCUCAAGCAAGAAGGCACUCAGCUAUGGGUUUGUAUUUGAGACUCUGAUGAAACUAUGUCUCUCCCCUCACACUCAAAAUUUGAUUGAAUUUCAGAGGCAUUGACUCCACUUAUGGACACCGUGGGGAACUCAGGAAGCCUGGUUAAGAAAUUUGAAUACAAUUUAUGCCAAGCGAAACACCAUCACUCUGAGGUGGAAGCCUCAGCAAGGCCAGGGUCCUUCAUGUUUUAAAAAGUCAUAGGAACUUUGGGAAAAAAGAGAGACCAAUGACCAAUAUUGAGAAUGAGAGAGGUGACUCACCAAAAUUCCAAAGACAUUUAAAGGACAAUCAAUUAAUGUGAAGGCCAAGCACAGUGGCUCAUGCCUGUAAUCCCAGCACUUUGGGAGGCUGAGGUGGGUGGAUCACUUGAGCUCAAGAGUUCAAGACCAGCCUGGGCAACAUGGCAAAACUCCAUCUCUACAAAAACUACAAAAGUUAGCCGG
rnacentral:lncRNA from 1 species